rnacentral:rRNA from 1 species
AUUGAACGCUGGCGGAAUGCUUUACACAUGCAAGUCGAACGGUAGAGGGGGCAACCCCUUGAGAGUGGCGAACGGGUGAGUAAUAUAUCGGAACGUGCCCAGUCGUGGGGAUAACGUAGCGAAAGCUACGCUAAUACCGCAUACGAUCUAUGGAUGAAAGCGGGGGAUCGCAAGACCUCGCGCGAUUGGAGCGGCCGAUAUCAGAUUAGGUAGUUGGUGAGGUAAAGGCUCACCAAGCCGACGAUCUGUAGCUGGUCUGAGAGGACGACCAGCCACACUGGAACUGAGACACGGUCCAGACUCCUACGGGAGGCAGCAGUGGGGAAUUUUGGGACAAUGGGGGCGAACCCCUGAGUCCAGCAAUGCCGCGUGAGUGAAGAAGG